CGUCACGUGGCUGCCAUCUCCUGUCACGUGGCCGCCGGCGCGGGUCACGAGAACAAACACCGGGGCAGCCGGCGCUUCCCGGCCGGUGUCGCUCCGCGGCGGGCCAUGGCCAACGUCUCUAAGAAGGUGUCGUGGUCCGGCCGGGACCGGGACGACGAGGAGGCGGCGCCGCUGCUGCGGAGGACGGCGCGGCCCGGCGGGGGGACGCCGCUGCUGAACGGGGCUGGGCCCGGGGCUGCGCGCCAGUCACCACGUUCUGCGCUUUUCCGAAUCGGACAUAUGAGCAACGUGGAGAUGGAUGAUGAACUUUUGGACCCGGAUAUGGACCCUCCACAUCCCUUCCCCAAGGAGAUCCCACACAACGAGAAGCUCCUGUCCCUCAAGUAUGAGAGCUUGGACUAUGACAACAGCGAGAACCAGCUGUUCCUGGAGGAGGAGCGGCGGAUCAACCACACGGCCUUCCGGACGGUGGAAAUCAAGCGCUGGGUCAUCUGCGCCCUCAUCGGGAUCCUCACGGGCCUUGUGGCCUGCUUCAUUGACAUCGUGGUGGAAAACCUGGCUGGCCUGAAGUACAGGGUCAUCAAGGGCAAUAUCGACAAGUUCACAGAGAAAGGUGGACUGUCCUUCUCCCUGUUGCUGUGGGCCACGCUGAACGCCGCCUUCGUGCUCGUGGGCUCCGUGAUUGUGGCUUUCAUAGAGCCGGUGGCUGCUGGCAGCGGAAUCCCCCAGAUCAAGUGCUUCCUCAACGGGGUGAAGAUCCCCCACGUGGUGCGUCUCAAGACGUUGGUGAUCAAAGUGUCCGGUGUGAUCCUGUCCGUGGUCGGGGGCCUGGCCGUGGGAAAGGAAGGGCCGAUGAUCCACUCAGGUUCAGUGAUCGCCGCCGGGAUCUCUCAGGGAAGGUCGACAUCACUGAAACGAGAUUUCAAGAUCUUCGAGUACUUCCGCAGAGACACAGAGAAGCGGGACUUCGUCUCCGCAGGGGCUGCGGCCGGAGUGUCAGCGGCGUUUGGAGCCCCCGUGGGUGGGGUCCUGUUCAGCCUGGAGGAGGGUGCGUCCUUCUGGAACCAGUUCCUGACCUGGAGGAUCUUCUUUGCUUCCAUGAUCUCCACGUUCACCCUGAAUUUUGUUCUGAGCAUUUACCACGGGAACAUGUGGGACCUGUCCAGCCCGGGCCUCAUCAACUUCGGAAGGUUUGACUCGGAGAAAAUGGCCUACACGAUCCAUGAGAUCCCGGUCUUCAUCGCCAUGGGUGUGGUGGGCGGUGUGCUUGGAGCUGUGUUCAACGCCUUGAACUACUGGCUGACCAUGUUUCGAAUCAGGUACAUCCACCGGCCCUGCCUGCAGGUGAUCGAGGCCAUGCUGGUGGCUGCCGUCACGGCCACAGUCGCCUUCGUGCUGAUCUACUCGUCGCGGGAUUGCCAGCCCCUGCAGGGGGGCUCCAUGUCCUACCCGCUGCAGCUCUUCUGUGCAGAUGGCGAGUACAACUCCAUGGCUGCGGCCUUCUUCAACACCCCGGAGAAGAGUGUGGUGAGCCUCUUCCACGACCCGCCAGGCUCCUACAACCCCCUGACCCUUGGCCUGUUCACGCUGGUCUACUUCUUCCUGGCCUGCUGGACCUACGGGCUCACGGUGUCUGCCGGGGUCUUCAUCCCGUCCCUGCUCAUCGGGGCUGCCUGGGGCCGGCUGUUUGGGAUCUCCCUGUCCUACCUCACGGGGGCGGCGAUCUGGGCCGACCCCGGCAAAUACGCGCUGAUGGGAGCUGCUGCCCAGCUGGGCGGGAUCGUGCGGAUGACCCUGAGCCUGACGGUCAUCAUGAUGGAGGCCACCAGCAACGUGACCUACGGCUUCCCCAUCAUGCUGGUGCUCAUGACCGCCAAGAUCGUGGGCGACGUCUUCAUCGAGGGCCUGUAUGACAUGCACAUUCAGCUGCAGAGUGUGCCCUUCCUGCACUGGGAGGCCCCGGUCACCUCGCACUCACUCACUGCCAGGGAGGUGAUGAGCACACCAGUGACCUGCCUGAGGCGGCGUGAGAAGGUCGGCGUCAUUGUGGACGUGCUGAGCGACACGGCGUCCAAUCACAACGGCUUCCCCGUGGUGGAGCAUGCCGAUGACGCCCAGGCCUGUCUUGCAGCCUGCCCGGCUCCAGGGCCUGAUCCUGCGCUCCCAGCUCAUCGUUCUCCUAAAGCACAAGGUGUUUGUGGAGCGGUCCAACAUGGGCCUGGUGCAGCGGCGCCUGAGGCUGAAGGACUUCCGCGACGCCUACCCACGCUUCCCGCCCAUCCAGUCCAUCCACGUGUCCCAGGAUGAGCGGGAGUGCACCAUGGACCUCUCCGAGUUCAUGAACCCCUCCCCCUACACGGUGCCCCAGGAGGCGUCGCUCCCACGGGUGUUCAAGCUGUUCCGGGCCCUGGGCCUGCGGCACCUGGUGGUGGUGGACAACCGCAAUCAGGUUGUCGGGUUGGUGACCAGGAAAGACCUCGCCAGGUACCGCCUGGGAAAGGGAGGCUUGGAGGAGCUCUCGCUGGCCCAGACGUGAGGCCCAGCCCUGCCCAUGGUGGGCACCAGCGCUGGCACCCUGGCCCCUCUGCACUUCCUCCCGGAGUCACUGGUUUCUCGGCCCAAACCAUGCUCCCCAGCAGUGGCAAUGGCGAGCAGCCUGCAGCUGGGCGGGCAGGCGGCAGGCGUGGAACUGACCCUCUCGCGGGACUGACCCUGUUGUGGGCAGUGGUCUCCCCCCUUGGCGCCUCCUUGCGCAGGCCCAGCCUCCGCUCUCCUCGUCUAGGUUUCUUUACCUCCAGGGAUCAGCUGUGUGUGUGUGACCUCCCUACCGGGCUGUCGGCCUCUUGGGAGCCAGCGGCAGGGCCGGCACCUGCGUGCCUGUGCCCGUGUGCGUGAGACAGAGCCCUCGACUCUGCUGCUGCCCCCAGGGCUGCCCUGCCCUGGAAGGGGGCCCCUCUGCCUCCACACCAGUGGAGUCUUCGAGACUUGGGAGCUGCUUGGCCUCAUUUUCAGCCAUGAGCAGACGGCCUGUGGUCCCUGGGCCUGAGCCACGGACUCGUAGCAGCAGAGUUUGGAGGCUGGGACCGCCCUGGAGAGCAGCUUCCCAGUGGCACCACAGAGGAGCCCCAUGUGCACUCCCCGGCCUGCAUCCGGCUUGGGUACACAGGCCCAGAGGACUGGGGUGACGGGCCCUGUGCUGUGAUGUUGAGAGCUGAGAAAAACCUCCAAGGCCCUGAGCCCCAUGCCCAGCCCUGCCUUGGUCCCCCAACCCCCAGAGCUUGGAGUCUGGGCCCCCACCCAGCCCUGCCUUGGUCCCUGAGCCUCAGAGCGUCGAGUUGCUGCCCUGUGGACACUGGCUGGGAAGGCAGGUCUUCCCCCAGCACAUGGGGACCCCGGCCUCGGGGGUGCCCUCCCUACCCCGCCCCUGCCAGCCAUCAAGUGCAAGUGCAGCAGGGACCGGCCUCAGAGGACACCUGGCCCAGCACAGGUGGCUAGAAGGGCCGGUGGGCACUGGGGCCAAGAAGCUCCCCCCGACCACCUGAGGGCCCCUGGGAGGCUCCUCUAGCCUGGCUGGGCUGGGUCUGGGGCCGCCACAGGGCCCUUCACAGGGCAUUAGAGGCAACUUUAAUGUCCCUGUUAGAGCAACACGGGUCCCUCCGUGGGGGGCAGGGGGGGCUGGGUGCGGCCCCCUGCCGUGUAUUUCCUCCCCAGGGAGUGGGGCUUCCCCAGGAGCUGACGCCACACCCCCUGUUUAGCCCUCACAGGGCCCCAAGGCGUCCGAGUGUGUUGGGUCUGAACGCGUGAAAUAAAGAAAUCCUCUCAGCCCGCCUUUGCCUGCGUCAUCCAUCCCACCCCACCCAGACCACGUCCAACAGCCUGGGACUUUCGGGACCCUGAGGUUGGGGCACCGUGUGGAGUGAGACAGGCGUGAAAGACAGCGGCUGUGGCCACCCAGGGCACCAGCCACAUCCUCUUCCUCAUCCCCGCCCCUCAGCCUCCCUCCUGGGGGCCUCUGGCUCCUGGCUGGUGGGUCUGGGGGACAAGGCAGAGGCGCUCCAGGUGGAGGGGGGUGGGGCCGGGGUGCCCACCCUGCAGUGACGCAAGAAGAAAAUUCCCGGGCCUGAGUCGGCGCUGGAAGCUCCGGUCUGGGUUUCUCUCACGGUGGUCCUGUACUGAGGACCUGGAAAUGAUCAUAUUUUGAAUAUAUUCGGUUAAAUAAAAUCAGCGUUUAGGAUUCA